AAAAUGGUGAACAACACUCGAAACGCUUCAACUUUGAGCAACUUUCUUAAGUCCAGUAGACAGGUCUGAUUGCCUUGUCAAGCUCAAUAAAAUGAGAAUUAAAUCAUUAUUUGGCAGAAAGCAGAUGUAGCGCUGUCACAUUACCAGACUGAAUUGGCCAAGAAAGAAAGGUCCCUCUUCAAAUUUCAAAAGAGCAGUUUCAAUAUAGUCAAAUGCAGCACCUGCUUUAACAUACCACCAUAUCUACAUUAACAUAUAUCCAACUUCAAUACCAUCAAAAGAAGUAGUUACUGCUGAACUCACCGGCAGCUGCCUCAGUUCCAUCUCCUUUGAAAAAUGAGAACACAGAAGUGUUGAAGGAGUCGGUGUAGGAAAACAACUCUUCUGCAAAUUCUCUCUCUGCAGGAUCCUAUAUAUACAGAUGAUGAGCUUUUGUAAUAUAGAGAGUAGUCAAUAUGAGCAACAAACGAAUUUACAAGUCUUACAUCUGGGAACAGUGAAGGCCCUUCAAAGUUACAGUCCAUAUACUUGAUCAAAUCAAGGCUCUCUACUAUGACUUCAUUAUUGUGUUCCAGUGAUGGCACCUGCAUUCAGAUUCCUCAUCAGUAGACAGCAGUUACGUAACCUCACAAGUUAGAGCUUAUUCCUAGCUAGGUACAUUAACUCUAGCUUAUUUCUGAACUUUUCUAAAACUGAUCCUGUGCAACAUAAUGCCAAGCCUGGUGAGGGUAUCUAUGAUCUCUACAUCAAGGAUGUACUUAGACAGUUAGAUGUCUGAUGGAAUGACAGCAUUCCAUAAUUUAUGUUGCAACUUAUUACUAUAUAUCUCUUUAUUAGGGGUUUGCUACAUCGUGUAACUACUACUUUAAGCUUUAGAGGAUGAACAGUUCAAUCGAUCUAUGCAUUAAAAUGCAGCAACAGAAGCAUGUGUAAAACCUUAUAUAUAGUUAUUUAAAUGCAGCAACAUAGUUAUUCACAAAAUCUGACCUUGUUAGUAGAGUUCACUUUUUCUUUGUACCAAGAAGGCCUGUCUAGCAGAUCAAGAGGAACCAAUUCUAUCUUUUCCUCCAAUCCCUGUUCCCAUCAAUCGACAAGGAUUAAAAGGUUUAACCUUGCAGCGAAAACCAGAAUAACCAAAGUACCAUUACAAUCAAUAUUGUUAGUAAUUUCCACACACAAGCAAGCAUUAAGACUUCUCCAUAACAACACAAACAUAAACAUCCAGUUUGGUAGCUCAAAAAAGCAUUCAAUAUUUGCAAAGCUAAAAAGCAUGACGUUUAGAGAUUUCAUUUCUCAAAAUUUUAUGCAAGCCAUUCAGAAGGUAAAUCAGAAAGAGACCAAAUUCAUUUAGUACCAGGCUAUGAAGUGAUUAAGAAACAACCUUACAAUUCCGGACAAUCCAUGCGCGCUGAGCAAAUGGGCAUGUGUAGGAUACAUACAACCUUCAACACAUAAAAACCCAACAUUUCCAAUUGUUAGAUGCUUCCAUUCACACAAACUCAUCCAUAUAAUGAGACCUAUGCAGUUGCAUGAAACAAACACAUUGACUACAAGAACUUGCACACUGCAUAAGCAAACCAAAAAACAAUUGCAACUUGAAAACCAAGUAGUCUACACCAACCUUGUUUUCCCAUCAAAGAGUGUAGGUGGGACUGAGCUGGAAGUAAGAGCUGGUGGAAGAACCUCUUGUACACUUUUUACCAAACAAGCAACACCGAAAUAAGAUGCACAGAUUCUUAAGUAUGUCACAACUUUUAGUUACUGAGUUAUAUAAAAUGGAAAGUAGUUAACUUUGCAUAUUUAUGUAAAUUCACACUUUCUUAGCAAGAAUAAACUUUACAUGAGACUGGUGACAUUACCCGGUUGCCACUAUUGCAGAGACUGAAGCUCUGGUCUUCUUCCCAAAAGAAGCUUGAAGAACAAGCUUAGGAUGACAUAGUAUAGUGGUGUUUGGAAACUUGGGUAUCAAUGAUUUCUUGGGGAGAGAAAAUGUGACUGAAUCUGAAAAGCGAUGCCGGGAAGUUUGAGGUGAUGAAGAAGCAGGAAGAGCAGUGCCUCUGAAACUUACUUUCAAAGUUGUCAUCGUUCUUUGGUUUGGUUUGAGAGUUCGUUAUGUUCUUGACUACUUGUAUAUUGUCGGAGGAGAGAGAAAACAAAGUAGGUGGGCUAAUUAUAUAUUCCACCCUCAAGGCACUAUCAGAUUGCACCAUAUAACUAGAGCAACCUCCCACCUAAAUGGUCAAACUGAAAAGUUGAGAAAGUUGAUAUCGCAGUAUGCCAAGUUGCCAACUAGAGUAGUGCAGUGACCAUUUGCAACAAGUUUGCCUCACAGAACAUGCAAUUUUGAGUCAUGUGAUGGACUCGAAAUAAGCAACCAUGGACAUGAUGUCUCGAACAUUUAGCCAAAUUACCGGGUUCGAAAUGUGAUCUGAGACCUUCUUACGUUACAUUUAUUUCUCAGAGCUCACAUUAUUGGUAGAAUGAAAAUGUUACGAGGAAUGAGUGAGGGGGGUUUAGACUUUGGAAAGAUGAUUUCAACAAUGGAACUUCUGAAUCUGAUAUACAAAUAAUAAGCUGCAGAUACAAGGUAUCAGGCAAAGGCAAUGUCUGGCUAUAUGAUAUGGUUCACCAUAUGUAGUACUUUACAGCGGCAUACAAAGAUAUGAGAAAUGGAAGCCAAAUUUGGAACAUCAAGCAACCCUCCCAACUUGUUUCUGCACAUUCAGGGCUGAGGCUGCAUAAUCAAUGCAUUUAAGACUUAAGUACAAGUAUUGGCAGCAACUUAUUUAGAACUCACUUCUUAAGAUGCAGCAAGAAGAAACUAACGGAAAAGCGUUUCUUGUAAAUUUCAACGAGCUCUUUGGGAUCACGUCUGGUCUUAUUGAAACCUUCAUUUUUGUUCAUCUCAUACAAAAUUGAUAUAUAGUCCCAUGAGUAGUGCUUUCAGUGGAUUUGAGAUGAAUCUUUUGCAUUGCAAGUGACACAUGCUAUUGCGGGAUUCAUAUCUUUAAGAUUUAUAAUGCCAAUGCGUACAGGAAGAUCACUUAAAUAAUAUUGUACCUCAAUCCAUGCUGCUAGUUUAGGUGUCCCUGCAGUGAUGUCAUACUUCUUGACAUCCAAUGCAAAAUGCUGAAAUCUUAUCAAUGAAUGGUGCAUAAGCAAUGUCCACCUGAUAGAUAAGAACAACAUUUGAAACUAUCCAUAUGAUAGAGCAACUAAAGCCAUGAAAGAUAUUUUAUUUAGAUCAGUAGUGUUAACCAUAGCCUCUGCCCACUUUAGUUGAAUGAAGUUGUGGAAAUUCCGAGCGACUUGUCGUUAGUACGUAGCUCUCCAGAUUACCCCAACGUAUAGGCAGGGAAACUCCCUGCUGCAUGACUUUGAUCUUGUAUAUAGUUUAAGUCUUGGUCAAUCUGUAAUGUGUAGUAGAGUGCUACAGUCCAAUUCCACAAACCCAAUAAAUUAAGCUCCGGUCUCUGUACGUAAUUGAGUAAUUAAGUCUAGCUAGUCUCUGUAUUCUGUAAAGUUGGAAACGAUCACGUCAAGAAACUCCAUUAAUUAAAAGCAUAUAGACUUUGGUACUGUGAAUCUGGAAUGCGCUGGUCUUUUCUGAUCUCUCUCCAUGGGAACAACUGGGAUUAGGAGCCUGUCCCUGCAGUGUGCUUGGGUUUCAAUUGUAACCUUUUUGGUUCUUGGCUCAUCUGGUCAUAAAGAUAAGUGUGUCCCUUCUUCUUGCGGCGACAUCCACAACAUAAGCUACCCAUUUCGACUACAGCAUGAUCCAGAGCACUGUGGCGACUUAAACCACACUUUGGAAUGUGACCACAACAACAUCACAGUGCUGCGCCUAUUUUCUCAAGAGUACUACGUCAAGGUCAUUGACUACAACUACGACAACAGCACAAUCCGUGUGGUGGAUCCUGGCCUUGAGAAGAACAACUGCUCUUCCCUUCCUCGUUUUCCUCUGGGCCUAUCGAGCUUCAGACCUUAUUAUCAUAGAUACCCUUCUUGGCAACCAUACGCAGAUCCAGUAAUUUUCUUGAAAUGUGCAAAUCCAGUGAAUUCUUCUUUGUAUGUGAGCACGGCUCCCUGUAUUAACUCCGAAAUGUAUGGUUAUGCCGUUCGAGGCAGAAUCUACCCCGAAGAUGUGGAGAAUGGGUGCACUGUAUAUUGGAUGGGUCUGACCACUUGGAUGCCCUUCGAGGAGGACGGAAACGUUUCCUAUCAAGAUAUACACGAUCAAAUGGUGUACGGCUUCGAGCUUGUGUAUGCUGACUAUUGCCACGGUCAAUGGAAUAUGCCUUUUCACGGCUCACCUUUUCACAGUUCAACAUGUUAUCCGCGCAGCAUACGAGGUAUAUACUGUCGAUCGAGUACGCCAUGAUUUCUCUAUUUUGAUUUUACGAAUAACUGUGCUAAUUAGUUAUGUACAUUCUUUGUCAUGCACUCUAGGUUUCUUUCUUAUUGGUUGGGCGGCGUUCACCGGUAAGUGUCAUUUCUCUCAACGUACUUUCUAUACAUCCACUAAUUUAUUGUCAACGAGAUCGAUGGUUGUCUCUCAUAUUACAUAUAUGGCCUUGCACUUUCAAGACUUAAUAUACAGGCCAAGCACCUAAUUAAUUAUGUAGAAUUUGUGCUGCAAUUAAACCCAGCUCCUUCAAAUCUUUUGCAGCUUAUUGGGAUAUCGAGAGUAUUAUCGCUGGCAGUGUUGUAGGGGGAAAAAUUAUAUUUGGAGGUCCAUUUGUGAUCGCACUUCUGAUAUAUAAGUGGCGAAGAAGGCAUUGGUCAACCUACAGCACAAUAGAAGACUUUCUGCAUUCUGACAAUUUCAUGCCUAUAAGGUACUCCUACUCCAACAUUAAGAAAAUGUCAGCUGGAUUCAAAGAUAAGUUAGGCGUAGGGGGUUAUGGUUCUGUAUUUAAAUGCAAAUUACGGAGUGGCCACUUUGGAGCCAUUAAGUUGUUAGACAAGUCUAACGCUAAUGGGGAAGAUUUCAUGAGUGAAGUAGCUACUAUUGGAAGGAUUCACCAUGUCAAUGUGGUGCAGCUUGUUGGUUACUGUGUCGAGGGUUCAAAGCGCGCCUUAGUAUAUGAUUUCAUGCCAAAUGGUUCUCUUGAUAGAUACAUUUACUCCAAAGAAGAAUCCAUCACUUUAAGUUACAAGAAAAUGUAUGAGAUUGCAGUUGGAGUCGCUCAAGGUAUUGAAUAUUUGCAUCAAGGUUGUGAAAUGCAAAUUUUGCAUUUUGAUAUCAAGCCUCAUAAUAUCCUACUUGAUGAGAAUUUUGUCCCAAAGAUUUCUGACUUUGGGCUAGCGAAACUAUAUCCAGCAAACAAUAGCAUUGUCUCAUCAAUGGCAGCAAGAGGCACCAUGGGAUACAUUGCUCCUGAGUUGUUUUAUAAAAACAUUGGUGGUGUUUCGUACAAAGCUGAUGUUUAUAGUUUUGGAAUGUUGUUGAUGGAAAUGGCAAGCAGAAGGAAAAAUCUUAAUGCAUAUGUAGAUCACUCUAGCCAAAUUUACUUCCCCUCAUGGGUGCAUGAUCAAUAUAAUGAGGGGAAGGACUUGGAGAUUGGGGAUGCUACAGCAGAGGAGAAGAAAUUAAUUAGAAAAAUGAUAGUAGUUGCCUUGUGGUGUAUUCAAAUGAAACCAAGUGAUCGACCUUCAAUGAAGAGAGUUACACAGAUGCUCGUAGGAGAUGUUGAGAACCUAGAAAUGCCACCAAAGCCUUCUCUAUGCCCACAACCGACGCCUGUAAGCAAUCUGAUUCCAACAUGUUCAAAUGUGGAGCAAACAUGUACUCUUUCUGCUAGGUGAUGAUAGCUGGCUACCAUUCAUUCACUCUACUUCGUGUAGCUUAUGAAAUUUCAGAUUGUCUUAGAAUUGUAGAUUAUUGUAGUUUUAAAGAUGAACUGCCAAGAAAGUUGAAAUAUUGUACUCCGUCAUUACUUUGCUGCCUCAUGGUUUAUGUAUAAAUGUGCCUUGUAACUUUCAUAUUUACUUUCCAUACCCUAUGGUUUCUGAAGAAGUAUUUCUUUACAGAUUUCUCAACCUAAUAGUUUCAAAGCUCAAAGCCUCCAAACAAAGGCCUAAUUUGGAUUUGUUUACGGUCUUACAGAUAAAUAGACUGAAAAUUAAAGAUUGUUCCACAAAACUUAUUUAAGUUUAUAUCGAUGAAAAAGGCUUAUUUAGACCUUCUUACAUUAUUGGUAGAAUGAAAAUGUUACGAGGAAUGAGUGAGGGGGGUUUAGACUUUUGGAAAGAUGAUUUCAACAAUGGAACUUCUGAUUCUGAUAUACAAAUAAUAAGCUGCAGAUACAAGGUAUCAGUCCUCGGCAAUGUCUGGCUAUAUGACAUGGUUCACCAUAUUCCCAGAAGCAUUAUUAGUGCUUUACAGCGGCAUACAAAGAUACGAGAAAUGGAAGCCAAAUUUGGAACAUCAAGCAACCCUUCCAACUUGUUUCUGCACAUUCAGGGCUGAGGCUGCAUAAUCAAUGCAUUUAAGACUUAAGUACAAGUAUUGGCAGCAACUUAUUUAGAACUCACUCUUAAGAUGAAGCAAGAAGAAACUAACCGAAAAGCGUUUCUUGUAGAUUUCAACGAGCUCUUUGGGAUCACGUCUGGUCUUAUUGAAACCUUCAUUUUUGUUCAUCUCCUACAAAAUUGAUAUAUCCAUGAGUAGUGCUUUCAGGGGAUUUGAGAUGAAUCUUUUGCAUUGCAAGUGACGCAUACUAUUGCAGGAUUCAUAUCUUUAAGAUUUAGAAUGCCAAUGCGUACAGGAAGAUCACUUAAAUCAUAUUGUACCUCAAUCCAUGCUGCUAGUUUAGGUCUCCCUGCAGUGAUGUCAUACUUCUUGACAUCCAAUGCAAAAUGCUGAAAUCUAUCAAUGAAUGGUGCAUAAGCAAUGUCCACCUGAAAGAUAAGAUCAACAUUUGAAACUUUCCAUAUGAUAGAGCGACUUUUGAUAAGUUCAGUAGACAGGUUUUCAUUGCCUAUACGGCGCAAGACAUAUGGGAACUGAAACGGUUAUUACUAGAAAGCAUAUUACCAGACUGAAUUGGCCAAGAAAGAAAGGUCCAUCUUCAAAUUUGGAAAGAGCAGUUUCAAUAUAGUCAAAUGCAGC
rnacentral:lncRNA from 1 species